rnacentral:rRNA from 1 species
GACGUAGGAGGCGAGCGUUGUCCGGAUUCAUUGGGCGUAAAGAGCGCGCAGGCGGCUUGGUAAGUCGGAUGUGAAAUCCCGAGGCUCAACCUCGGGUCUGCAUCCGAUACUGCCCGGCUAGAGGUAGGUAGGGGAGAUCGGAAUUCCUGGUGUAGCGGUGAGAUGCGCAGAUAUCAGGAGGAACACCGGUGGCGAAGGCGGAUCUCUGGGCCUUACCUGACGCUCAGGCGCGAAAGCUAGGGGAGCGAACUGG